rnacentral:misc_RNA from 1 species
UCGGAGAUUAACGACAACAGACGGACUUCACUCGGUGGAGGUAAAGUAUUGGCAACGAACGGAAAUUGCCGAAGACGUCUCGACAAGAAUCGGCUGCAAUCUUAGUUGAGAAGUGUGCUGCUUGCUUAUCAAGAGGAUGGGGGAAAUGACUUAGCUGCUUAUAAAUGCUCCUCUGCAACAUGGAAAAUGGAUGAAGACUAUAGCUUUUAUAGUAUGCAGACUGUCUGGAGUUCCCAGAAUUGUAGAUUUAACGGCAUUUGAAAUAUUUUGCAAGCAGUGGAAGUGUCCGCGGCGUUAGACGCGUUGGACUUAGUGUGGGGGAGAGAGAAGUCGACCAAGGUGUGCUUCUUGUGUGGAGCUGCCGAACCACGGACCACCGUGGCUUGGACGUAAUCACAGCUGGGUUUUUUUAAAGCAAUGGGUGGAUGUAGUUCGGCCCUAAUCAUUUCUAUGUGUGGACUUGUGUUCUUGGAUGUAUCUUUCGCUGCUCAUUACACGGAUAAGUGGGCAGUUCACAUUGAAGGAGGUGUACAUGCGGCCAAGUCUUUAACUGAAAAGCACGGAUUUAUUUUCUUGGGAGAGAUCAUGCCCGACUUCUAUCAUAUACAACAUAAAAAAGUAGCCAAGCGAUCUAUUUAUGCCAGUAAAUCUCAUCAAGUGGCCUUAGCAGCAGAACCACAGGUGAAAUGGAUAGAGCAACAAAUUUCAAAACACAGAGUCAAAAGAAAUGUUAACUUUAACGACCCAAAGUGGAAUAUGAUGUGGUAUUUGAAUCGUGGACAUGGUCUUGAUAUGAAUGUUAGAAGAGCCUGGGAAAGAGGUUAUACAGGACAAGGCGUUGUUGUAACUAUUCUAGAUGAUGGGAUUGAAAGAGAUCAUCCAGAUCUUAGGAGAAAUUAUGAUGACCAAGCUAGUUAUGAUGUAAAUGACCACGAUCCAGAUCCAACACCACGUUAUGAUUAUACAAAUGAAAAUAGACAUGGUACAAGGUGUGCAGGUGAAGUUGCUGCUGAGAAAGAUAACCUUAUUUGUAGUGUAGGUGUAGCAUAUGAUGCCAGUAUUGGAGGCGUUCGAAUGCUCGAUGGUGAUGUAACAGAUUCUGUUGAAGCUCAAUCAUUAAGUCAUAAUCCACAACACAUUCAUGUAUACAGUGCUAGUUGGGGACCUGAUGAUGAUGGUCGAACUGUUGAUGGACCAGCUACUCUAGCAAGGAAAGCCUUUUUUGAUGGAAUCACAAAGGGACGAGGAGGUUUGGGAUCAAUAUUUGUCUGGGCUUCAGGCAAUGGUGGCCGGGAUGGAGACAGCUGCAACUGUGAUGGUUACACCAAUAGUAUUUAUACCUUAUCUAUCAGCAGUGCAACUGAAAAUGGUAAUAUUCCAUGGUAUUCAGAAGCCUGUUCAUCCACACUAGCAACCACUUACAGUAGUGGGUCCAGUAUGGAGAGACAGAUUGUAACUACCGAUCUGAAAAGAGGUUGCACUGAAACGCAUACUGGAACAAGUGCUAGUGCUCCUUUGGCUGCUGGUUUAUGUGCUUUGGCAUUACAAGCAAAUUCAAUGUUAACAUGGCGGGAUAUGCAACAUAUAGUUGUUAUGACAGCUAAACCUGAAAAUCUACGUGCUCAAGAUUGGCUUAUAAAUGGAAUUGGCCGUAAAGUGAGUCAUUCUUUUGGAUAUGGUUUGAUGGAUGCUGCUGAAAUGGUAUCUUUAGCCAAAAACUGGACCACUGUGCCAAAACAACAAGUAUGUGAAAUCCGUUAUCCUGAAAAAAGCAGAGUUGUCCCUCCAAAUAGCAGAGUGACUGCUGCUCUUUAUUCUACUGGCUGUGAAGGAAGAAAUAACCAUGUAAAAUAUUUAGAACAUGUGCAGGCACGUGUUACAUUAACAUCAGACCGUCGAGGAGAAAUACAAAUUUUCUUAACUUCACCAAUGGGGACAAGAUCAACCUUGCUUGCUCGAAGAACCAGAGAUACUUCACAAGAUGGAUUUAGCAAUUGGGCUUUCAUGACAACACAUAAUUGGGGAGAGUUUGCCAAAGGAACUUGGAUGCUAGAAAUUGAGAAUGGAGCAAGUGCAUCAGAAUUACGAGAAUGGGUUUUGGUCAUUCUUGGCACAAAGGAACAUCCUCGACAUCGUAAUGUUACUCCAGAAACAUCACGCAUGAAUCAGCAAUUUCAGUCUGUAUAUACUUGUGCUGGUGAAUCUCCUAGCAGUAGGGUCUGCAUAGUGACUUCUUACAGAAUGCAGUUUGUUGCCAUGGACCAAUGUCUGAAGCAACUGUAGUGGUUUGGUGUCUGUUAGACAACUUCCAAAUAAGUGCUGCUACUCAAUAAUUCCUUUCCAAAUUGACAUCAGCCAGCCAGUCAGAUGGCCAUCCAUCCAAUAACCAGCUAUGGUGUCUGUGCAUUUUCCAUACUGAGAAGCUUGCAGACAUCACCAGGAAUGUCGUGUGGGGUUCUAUAAGUUGGGUAGCAAAUGUGUUGCCACCUGCCCAGUACAGUAUUACGGUUACGUUGAAAUUGUUUCAUCACAUAAUGGCAAUUCAAAUAAAACAGUUGCUACGUGUCGCAAAUGUCACCC